AGUGUUCAGCUGGAUUCUCUCUGGGCUCUUUAUUUAAUUCUAUGGAGCUGUAUUUGAGGCUUAAAUGUAAUAUUGUCCAGGCCCAAAACAGCCUGUUUACAUAGAAAUGAAUGAAAACCGGAGUUUCUGACACAAACCAUAACACAUGAUCAAUCCAGCUUGCUUUUAAUAUAAUGGUACAGAUUACUAAAAAGCUUUACAUCCCUUAUCUAAGUAGCUUUUUGUUUUCUGGAAUAUUUUGUUUAUCUCUUGUAAACUUGCAUGAAACCUGAUACCCAGAGAUCCUUUAUGUAGGAGUGACUCUGCAAUUACAGCCGAUUUCCAUUGAGUGCUCCAGGAAAAAAAAACAGAAUUGAACCUGUAUUUAACCCGAAUCUGCAAAUGUACAGGAUUAUUAUUUAUUUGCAUUCUGUACUCCAUUUAAGCACCAAGCGCAUGCUGGGUUUGUAUUAAACAGCCUUGAAGGCCAGCAUCAGUUUUCACCAAUGUUUGGUGUCCUAAAAAACCUUAACUUCAGGAUCUUUUGUUCAUUCUCAUUAUUGCAAUGUAGACGUGGAUGAUCCUGUACAGUGACUAGAUAUUUAAAUCUAUGUGGUUCAGGUGUAAACAAACAUUGACUUGACUCUGGUUUUAUUUUAGACCGCGUUAAACCCAUGGGCUCUUAUCGAAGUCGUUUCCUGUUUCUUCCUUGGCAGGUAGCGAUCAAAAGGGAGCCUAAAUAAUCACUUUUACCGACGGUCGCUGUAGGGCUCGAUCCUGUAGCCGCUUCAGCAACAUUAAGGAAAAGGACACGUUAGUUUUGGUGGUUUUGAGGAGCAAUUAAGGUCUUGUUAGUUGAACAGAUUGUUUGUGGUAGACUAGUGGUUAAAGCUUUGGACUUCUGAUCGGAAGGUUGAGUUCCCAGCUUAGUCAGUAUGUAUAGAUUGCUGGACUCGACCCAGAAGAAGAAAAUGUCCUCCUCACUGGCGAACGCAGUUGGCUGAGAUUCAGACGAUGUGACUCUGUAUUAGACUAAAAGACGAGAGCAAGUCAAUCUUGCUGAAAGCCAGAGGUGGUGGUGAUCCUGGAGACUGACCCAAAAGGUUCGCAUUCACCGUCUGAUGUUUGGGGGUCUGCCUUGACUCAGGAUGCCGUCUGAUGCUCGACACCAGACAGUGACCUGCUCUAUUUCGCAGGAACAACUGGGUGUAAUGCUGCCAGAUGCCGAUUAAGCAACUGUGGAACAACAGGAUUCAAGACCUGUAAAAAAUCUCACAAACCAACUGCUGGUUACAUGAGUUUACUGUUGCUCAGUGUAUAUUCAAGAUUAAUAGAAAGCCAGUGAGCUGAAAUUGAACUUUUAGUGAGGAUGUAAUAUUUUCUCUCUCUAACUCAUUGAUUAGUCUUUAUUUGAUUGGUCUAUUUAUGUUCUGGCCUUUUGUGCACUCAACAAUUUAAAAAAAAAAAUAAAAUAAACAUUAAUUGUUUAA